rnacentral:rRNA from 1 species
GAUGAACGCUGGCGGCGUGCCUAAUACAUGCAAGUCGAGCGAACAGAUGAGGAGCUUGCUCCUCUGACGUUAGCGGCGGACGGGUGAGUAACACGUGGAUAACCUACCUAUAAGACUGGGAUAACUUCGGGAAACCGGAGCUAAUACCGGAUAAUAUAUUGAACCGCAUGGUUCAAUAGUGAAAGACGGUUUUGCUGUCACUUAUAGCUGGAUCCGCGCCGCAUUAGCUAGUUGGUAAGGUAACGGCUUACCAAGGCAACGAUGCGUAGCCGACCUCAGAGGCGGAUCGGCGACACUGGAGCUGAGACGCGGACAAGGCGACUACGGGAGGCAGCAGUAGGGAAUCGGAGGCAGUGGGCGAAAGCAUGACGGAGCAAGCGCGCGUGUGUGAUGACGGCCUUCGGAGCGUGAAACUCUGUUAUUAGGGAAGAACAAAUGUGUAAGGAAAUGUGCACGUAUUGACGGUAACUGAUAAAGAAGCACCGGCUAACUACGUG